GACGAACGCUGGCGGCGUGCUUAACACAUGCAAGUCGAGCGGUAAGGCCCUUUCGGGGGUACACGAGCGGCGAACGGGUGAGUAACACGUGGGUGACCUGCCCUCAGCUCUGGGAUAAGCCUGGGAAACCGGGUCUAAUACUGGAUAUGACUCCAUGACGCAUGUUGUGGGGUGGAAAGCCUUGUGCGGCUGAGGAUGGGCCCGCGGCCUAUCAGCUUGUUGGUGGGGUGAGGCCUACCAAGGCGACGACGGGUAGCCGGCCUGAGAGGGCGACCGGCCACACUGGGACUGAGACACGGCCCAGACUCCUACGGGAGGCAGCAGUGGGGAAUCUUGCGCAAUGGGCGAAAGCCUGACGCAGCGACGCCGCGUGAGGGAUGAAGGCC
rnacentral:rRNA from 1 species